rnacentral:rRNA from 1 species
UGNGGAAGGAUCAUUGUCGAAACCUGCAAAAGCAGAACGACCCGCGAACUCGUUUUUCCGCGCUCGUCCCGGCACAAACCUUAACACCGGCGCGGGUUGCGCCAAGGAACAUGGACCCUAUCGCGUCCUGCGUCCCCCGGGCGACCGAGGGCCGCAGAGACGGCGUGUUGGUAAAUAAACGACUCUCGGCAACGGAUAUCUCGGCUCUCGCAUCGAUGAAGAACGUAGCGAAAUGCGAUACUUGGUGUGAAUUGCAGAAUCCCGUGAACCAUCGAGUCUUUGAACGCAAGUUGCGCCCGAAGCUUCGGCCGAGGGCACGUCUGCCUGGGCGUCACGCAUCGCGUCGCCCCCUCCCCCUCGCACGGCGGGGACGGAGGGGCGGAAUUUGGCCCCCCGUGCGCGCCCUCGCGCGGUCGGCCUAAAUACGGAGCACGUGGCCGCGUACGCCGCGAUGAUUGGUGGUCGGACCAAGGCCGGACGGCCUCUGGUAGCAUCUCGUCGCGCGCCGAGCGGACUCUGGUAGCUCGAAGGACCCUUUGGGAGGGAACUCCUAAACAACCGUUSSRACCCCAGGUCAGGNGGGAUCACCCGCUGANUUUA